UCGUUGGGUCCUUGAGGACUUAGUGACGCAGCUAACGCAAUAAGUAGACCGCCUGGGGAGUACGGCCGCAAGGUUAAAACUCAAAUGAAUUGACGGGGGCCCGCACAAGCGGUGGAGCAUGUGGUUUAAUUCGAUGCAACGCGAAGAACCUUACCUGGUCUUGACAUAUCUAGAAUCCUGCAGAGAUGCGGGAGUGCCUUCGGGAAUUAGAAUACAGGUGCUGCAUGGCUGUCGUCAGCUCGUGUCGUGAGAUGUUGGGUUAAGUCCCGCAACGAGCGCAACCCUUGUCCUUAGUUACCAGCGGUUUGGCCGGGAACUCUAAGGAUACUGCCAGUGACAAACUGGAGGAAGGCGGGGACGACGUCAAGUCAUCAUGGCCCUUACGACCAGGGCUACACACGUGCUACAAUGGUAGGUACAGAGGGCAGCUACACAGCGAUGUGAUGCGAAUCUCAAAAAGCCUAUCGUAGUCCAGAUUGGAGUCUGCAACUCGACUCCAUGAAGUAGGAAUCGCUAGUAAUCGCGGAUCAGAAUGCCGCGGUGAAUACGUUCCCGGGCCUUGUACACACCGCC
rnacentral:rRNA from 1 species